rnacentral:rRNA from 1 species
AGUGAACGCUGGCGGUAGGCCUAACACAUGCAAGUCGAACGGCAGCACAGAGGAGCUUGCUCCUUGGGUGGCGAGUGGCGGACGGGUGAGGAAUACAUCGGAAUCUACUCUGUCGUGGGGGAUAACGUAGGGAAACUUACGCUAAUACCGCAUACGACCUACGGGUGAAAGCAGGGGAUCUUCGGACCUUGCGCGAUUGAAUGAGCCGAUACCGGAUUAGCUAGUUGGCGGGGUAAAGGCCCACCAAGGCGACGAUCCGUAGCUGGUCUGAGAGGAUGAUCAGCCACACUGGAACUGAGACACGGUACAGACUCCUACGGGAGGCAGCAGUGGGGAAUAUUGGACAAUGGGCGCAAGCCUGAUCCAGCCAUACCGCGUGGGUGAAGAAGGCCUUCGGGUUGUAAAGCCCUUUUGUUGGGAAAGAAAUCCAUCUGGUUAAUACCCGGGUGGGAUGACGGUACCCAAAGAAUAAGCACCGGCUAACUUCGUGCCAGCCGCCGCAGUAA